GACGAACGCUGGCGGCGUGCUUAACACAUGCAAGUCGAACGGAAAGGCCCUGCUCUUGUGGGGUGCUCGUUUGGCGAGGGGGGGAGUAACACGCGAGUAACCUGCCCCUGAAUUUGGGAGAACACCAGGAGAAUGGGGCUAUUACAGGAUAGAAGCUCCUGCUGCGCGGUGGGGGUAGGAAAGUUUCGGCGGUGUGGGCUGGAAUCGAGGCUUAUGCGCUUGUUGGUGGGGUAGUGGCUGACCAAGGCUUUGACGGGUAGCCGGCCUGAGAGGGUGGCCGGCCACAUUGGGCCUGCGAGACGGCCCAGACUCCUACGGGCGGCAGUAGUGGGGAAUAUUGCGCAAUGGGCGGACGCCUGUUACAGCAGUGCUGCGUGCGUGAUGCCGUCCUUCGGGUUGUAAACCUCUUUCUCCUUUGCUGAGGCGUGAGUGACGGUACUUAGUAAGAAAGCACCGGCUAACUACGUG
rnacentral:rRNA from 1 species